rnacentral:rRNA from 1 species
UCCGACAGCCAGCUCUCUGCAAUGCCCACUAAAGCUAAGCAAGGCUGUGCCUGAUCAGUACUUGGAUGGGAGACCACAUGAGAAAGCUAGAUUGCUGCUGGAA